rnacentral:rRNA from 1 species
AAUGAACGCUGGCGGCAGGCCUAACACAUGCAAGUCGAACGGAUCCUUCGGGAUUAGUGGCGGACGGGUGAGUAACGCGUGGGAACAUACCCUUUGGUACGGAAUAGCCUCGGGAAACUGGGAGUAAUACCGUAUGUGGUCGAGAGACGAAAGAUUUAUCGCCAAAGGAUUGGCCCGCGUUGGAUUAGGUAGUUGGUGGGGUAAUGGCCUACCAAGCCGACGAUCCAUAGCGGGUUUGAGAGCAUGAUCAGCCACACUGGGACUGAAAAACGGCCCAGACUCCUAAGGGAGGCAGCAGUGGGGAAUCUUAGACAACGGGGGAAACCCUGAUCUAGCCAUGCCGCGUGAUCGAUGAAGGCCUUAGGGUUGUAAAGAUCUUUCAGGUGGGAAGAUAAUGACUGUACCACCUGAAGAAGCCCCGGCUAACUCCGUGCCAGCCGCCGCGGUAA